AAAAAUUUAGUUUAAAUCUAAAACAUUAGCUUGUCAAGCUAAAAAUACAUUAAAAUAUGUAAUCUUUA
rnacentral:tRNA from 1 species